UACGAAGGGAGCUAGCGUUGUUCGGAAUCACUGGGCGUAAAGCGCACGUAGGCGGAUUGUUAAGUCAGGGGUGAAAUCCUGGAGCUCAACUCCAGAACUGCCUUUGAUACUGGCGAUCUCGAGUCCGGGAGAGGUGAGUGGAACUGCGAGUGUAGAGGUGAAAUGCGUAGAUAUCUGGAGGAACACCGGUGGCGAAGGCGACAUCCUGGACCAACACUGACGCUGAGUGAGCGAAAGCCAGGGGAGCAAACGGG
rnacentral:rRNA from 1 species